GACGAACGCUGGCGGCGUGCUUAACACAUGCAAGUCGAACGGAAAGGCCCUGCUUUUGUGGGGUGCUCGAGUGGCGAACGGGUGAGUAACACGUGAGUAACCUGCCCUUGACUUUGGGAUAACUUCAGGAAACUGGGGCUAAUACCGGAUAGGAGCUCCUGCUGCAUGGUGGUGGUUGGAAAGUUUCGGCGGUUGGGGAUGGACUCGCGGCUUAUCAGCUUGUUGGUGGGGUAGUGGCUUACCAAGGCUUUGACGGGUAGCCGGCCUGAGAGGGUGACCGGCCACAUUGGGACUGAGAUACGGACCAGACUGCUACGGGAGGCAGCAGUGGGGAAUAUUGCACAAUGGGCGGAAGCGUGAUGCAGCAGCGCCGCGUGCGGGAUGACGGCCUUCGGGUUGUAAACCGCUUUCGCAUGUGACGAAGCGUGAGUGACGGUAAUGGGUAAAGAAGCACCGGCUAACUACGUG
rnacentral:rRNA from 1 species